rnacentral:lncRNA from 1 species
GGCUGGCUCUCUGCCCCUCCCUGGGAGCUGGCCAGUCUCAGAGCACAGAGCUGCACACGGCCGGAGACUCCCCUGGGUGGGAACAAACCCCUGGCUGGUCAGGGCCCUCGAGACAGGAACACGGUCACAGGGACCGGGGACAAAGAGGGCCAUCUGGGCCCUUGGCUGCCUGCUCCUGCCACCUGCCACUUUGGAAGGGACUGGAUUCGAUAGAAGAAAGAAGGGAAAGGCAAAGGAAAGCACAAAUGUGACGUUAAACACACAGAGGAGACCCCACAUCAGUGACUCACACAGAUGCUGCCAAGGAUCCAGCUGCUUCACACUGUGCAGACAAGAUGGGGGUCUGCAAGCCCGCGUGCGCCGGCAGGGCCCGAGAAGACUGCUGGAGAUUCUGUUUGCGCAUGAAGACACUGUAGGCUCCUCUGGCAGAUGCAGAAACUGUGGCUUAGAGAGGUCUGGAGCACCAGAUAUAUAAGGUGAGACCAGAACAGCUUGUACCAGAAGACAAGAAAGUUAUCGAACACCACUGGGGUCAUGUCAAAAGGACUCAGGUGCCGACCUGAAGGAGCUCCCACUGGACAAAAUGGCAUCGUUUGUGCUUCAAAAACAAAACUAAACAAACAAACAAAGACCCUGCAAUGAAUUGAAAUACAUCAAAUAUUUUAAAACUCCAUGAGUUCAAGAUGAUAAUUAAAAAAAGACACUUGGAGGAUGCUUAGAAAAAACCAACUCACUCUUCCAAAAAUUGAUAAAGGGAAAGCGAACUCUGGGGCUUCCCAAUGAUAUUGUGAAGUUGCACAUUCGUUGGAAGGCCUCCCAUGUACUCCCAAG